UCGAUGCCAGAGCUAACUGAUGGGUGCACAUGGUUCCUUCGUAUGUUCUUUCUUUGAAAAAAUAAACGUGUUUCGAUGCCAGAGCUAACUGAUGGGUGCACAUGGUUCCUUCGUAUGUUCUUUCUUUGAAAAAAUAAACGUGUUUCGAUGGCAGAGCUAACUGAUGGGUGCACAUGGUUCCCUCGUAUGUUUUUCCUUUGAAGAAAUAAACGUGUUUCGAUGCCAGAGCUAACUGAUGGGUGCACAUGGUUCCUUCGUAUGUUCUUCCUUUGAAAAUAUAAACGUGUUUCGAUGCCAGAGCUAACUGAUGGGUGCACAUGGUUCCUUCGUAUGUUCUUCCUUUGAAGAAAUAAACGGUGAGCAUAACUGCAUGUCAAUUGCUCUGCUCCUUUUAACAGUUUCCUUUCUCUUUGC